rnacentral:rRNA from 1 species
UACGUAGGUGGCAAGCGUUGUCCGGAUUUACUGGGCGUAAAGAGCGCGCAGGCGGUCGAUUUAGUCGCGUGUGAAAGCCCCCGGCUCAACUGGGGAGGGUCACGCGAUACUGAUCGACUCGAAGGCAGGAGAGGGUAGUGGAAUUCCCGGUGUAGUGGUGAAAUGCGCAGAUAUCAGGAAGAACACCCGUGGCGAAGGCGGCUCUCUGGGACGGUACUGACGCUGAGACGCGAAAGCGUGGGGAGCGAACAGG